GCCUUCGUGGUGUAAUGGUUAGCACACUCGGCGCGUAUUCGAGAGGCCCAGGUUCGAGUCGUGGGUAGGGCA
rnacentral:tRNA from 1 species